GUCGGCCUCGGUGGUGGCCGACGAAAAUUGUCUGGGAACAUAUUUUCGUCGGCCACCAUCGAGGCCGAC
rfam:Zea mays cultivar B73 chromosome 4, whole genome shotgun sequence.